UACCAGCACCCCGAGUGGUCGGGGCGAUUAUUGGGCCUAAAGCAUCCGUAGCCGGUUCUACAAGUCUUCCGUUAAAUCCACCUGCUUAACAGAUGGGCUGCGGAGGAUACUAUGGAGCUAGGAGGCGGGAGAGGCAAGCGGUACUUAGUGGGUAGGGGUAAAAUCCGUUGAUCCAGUGAAGACCACCAGUGGCGAAGGCGGCUUGCCAGAACGCACUCGACGGUGAGGGAUGAAAGCUGGGGGAGCAAACCGG
rnacentral:rRNA from 1 species